GGUCUUGUGGUCUAGUGGUAUGAUUCUCGGUAAGUUUCUAUUCACACAUAUUCAAAUUAGUAUACUAACAGUUGAACAGCUUAGGGUGUACCCUGAGUAAUUUGCGAGAGGCCCCGCGUUCGAGUCGCGGCAAGACCC